rnacentral:lncRNA from 13 species
AUAUAAAUUUCUUGUCAUUUAUUUUUUAAAUUAUCUUUAGAUGCAGGAAUCUGGGUUAUGAAGUCGUGAAAAAUGGAAGAAGAAAAAAUGAGUCCAGUCAUACACCACAUAACAACAUCGCAGUCAAUAAUGGACUGCAGAUGAGAUGGCGGUCCCAUAAGAUUAUAAUGAAACUGAAAAAUUCUUGUUGCCUGAUGAUAUCAUAGCCAUCAAAACUUCCUAGUGCAACACAUUAGUCAUGUGUUUGUGGUGAUGCUGAUGUAAACAAACCAGCUGUGCUGUGCUACCAGUUGUACAGAAGGAUAGCACAUACAAUUAUGUACAGUACAUAAUACUUGAUAAUAAAUGACUAUGUUACUGGUUUAUGUACUUAUCAUUCUGUACUUUUUAUCAUUAUUUUAGAGUAUUGAACUUCUACUUACAAAAAAAAGUUAACGUGUAAAAAACCUCUGGCAUGUUCAUCAGGAGGUAUUGCAGAAGAAGGCAGUAAUAGAAGGGAUAACAGUUCCAUGUGGGGUAUUGCCCCUGAAAGCCUUCCCAGUGGGACAAGAUGAGGUGGAAGAUAGUGAUAUUGAUUAUUCUGACCCUGUGUAGGCCUAGGGCAAUGUAUGUGUUUGCAGCUUAGUUUUUAACAAGAAGUUUAAAAAUUAAAACUUUAAAUAGAUAAAAGCUUAUAGAAUAAGGAUAUAAACGAUAAAAUAUUCUUGUAUAGCUGUACAAUGUUUUUGUGUUUGAAUCUGUUAUUACAAAACAGUCAAAAAGUUUAAAACAACUAAAAAGUUUAUAAAGUAAAAAUGUUAUAGUAAUAUGAAGUCAAUUCAUUAAGAAAGUUUUAAAAAUUGGUGUAGCCUAAGUGUGCUUUGUUCAUAGUCUACAGUAGUGUAUAGUAAUGUCCUGGGCCUUCAUAUUUACUUAACAGUCACUCAUGGACUCACCCAGAUCAACUUCCAGUUCUGCAAGCUCCAUUCUUAGUUUCCAAACCAAGGUAUUAAGAAGACCUGGCAACUUCUGCUUCUUCUGCUCUUGCAUUCUGGAAGAAGGCAGCUGCCAAAGAAGAAGUCUGACUACCUGGCAUCACCCUGCUGUGGAGAAA